rnacentral:rRNA from 1 species
AGAGAGAGACAUGCGCGCAUAUCAAUAAGCGGAGGAAAAGAAACUAACAAGGAUUCCCCUAGUAACGGCGAGUGAAGCGGGAAGAGCUCAAAUUUGAAAUCUUAAAGGGUUUCCCUUUACGAAUUGUAGUUUAAAGAAGUGUUUUCUGUUGAGGCUUUGGUAAAAGUUCUUUGGAAUAGGACAUCAUAGAGGGUGAGAAUCCCGUAUUUGACCUUUACUUUCAACUUUGUGAUACACUUUCAAAGAGUCGGAUUGUUUGGGAAUGCAGUCCAAAAUGGGUGGUAAAUUUCAUCUAAAGCUAAAUAUUGGCGAGAGACCGAUAGCGAACAAGUACCGUGAGGGAAAGAUGAAAAGAACUUUGAAAAGAGAGUUAAACAGUACGUGAAAUUGUCAAAAGGGAAGCGUUUGACACCAGUGUUGUUUUUCUGAAAAUCAAUUAAAGAACUGUUUAUGCUAAGUUGUUUAGACUUUAUCAGCUAACUGUUUAGUUUUGAGCUUUUCUUUAAUGCACUUUUCAGUUAACAAGUCAACAUCAAUUUCUUUUCGCUGUAAAAAAGCUUGAGGAAGGUGGCUUGAGAUUCGUCUUAAGUGCUUAUAGCCUCUUGCCUAUGCAGUCGGAGAGAUUGAGGUCUGCAGCGUAGAUCCUUCGGGGCUAAAUGCAUUUGUGCUAAGUUAUAGCAUUUUAUAGACAACUUGUUGACUAUGAUUUGUCUUGUAGCUUACUCGCUUAUGUUAUUUUACCUACGCUUAGGAUGUUGAGCGCAUGUCUCUCUCU